AGGACGAACGCUGGCGGCGUGCUUAACACAUGCAAGUCGAGGGCACUUUGGGGGCAACUCUGGAGUGACCGGCGAACGGGUGCGUAACACGUGAGCGACCUUGCCUCGUGGUGGGGGAUAGCCGGCCCAACGGCCGGGUAAUACCGCAUAUGGUAGUUUCUUCGCAUGGGGAGACUAGCAAAGCUGAGUAGCAAUACUUGGCGCCACAGGGGGGGCUCGCGGCCUAUCAGCUAGUUGGGGGGGUAAUGGCCCACCAAGGCGACGACGGGUAGCU
rnacentral:rRNA from 1 species